rnacentral:rRNA from 1 species
CUUUACUGUAACCUGGUAUUGGGUUCGGGCUUUGACUGCGCAGGAUAGGUGGGAGACUAUGAAGUUUGCCUUGUGGGGCAAAUGGAGUCAACGGUGAGAUACCACUCUGUCAGAGCUAGGAUUCUAACCUUCACCCAUGAUCUGGGGAAGGAACCGUAUCAGGCGGGCAGUUUGACUGGGGCGGUCGCCUCCUAAAUGGUAACGGAGGCGCGCAAAGGUGUUCUCAGGCUGGUUGGAAAUCAGCCGCAGAGUGUAAAGGCAAAAGAACGCUUGACUGUGAGAGUGGCAACUCGAGCAGGGUGGAAACACGGCCUUAGUGAUCCGACGGCUUGUGCGUGGAAAUGCCGUCGCUCAACGGAUAAAAGUUA